rnacentral:lncRNA from 1 species
GGUCAAGAUCAUUAAAUAGGUUAAAGGUGAUUAGUUAUUUAAAGGUGUGAAGAAAAAAAAGGUCACUUGAACAGUAUAAGAAGUUGAAGAAUUUAAAGGAACAAUGAUUUAUUGCGAGUAGCAAUUGUGGAUAGACUUAAUUUUGAAAUGUUUCAAAUGAACAAAGUAUUGUUAAAUGUUCAGAAAGGCUUCUCAUUUAAGAGGGCCGGAAUGUGGAGUACAGGAUGACGUUUUUGCUUUAAGCCGAUUCUUGUGAUGUCACAGGCGUCGCUUUGUAGAAAGUGUAUGGAUUAAGUCGCUUGAGGGCGUACUGGAUUUUGUGUGUUACUGAUUUUCCACGUCAUGGGAUAGUUGCCUCCCAGAGUUGCCUAAGUUUUCGUUUAAUUUUGUGAUACAAGCCCAAUGAUAUUGAACCUUGCCUGCUACAGUCUAUAACCAAA